rnacentral:rRNA from 1 species
UACAGAGGGUGCAAGCGUUAAUCGGAAUUACUGGGCGUAAAGCGCGCGUAGGUGGUUUGUUAAGUUGGAUGUGAAAUCCCCGGGCUCAACCUGGGAACUGCAUCAAAACUGCAAGCUUAGAGUAUGGUAGAGGGUGGUGGAAUUUCCUGUGUAGCGGUGAAAUGCGUAGAUAUAGGAAGGAACACCAGUGGCGAAGGCGACCACCUGGACUGAUACUGACACUGAGGUGCGAAAGCGUGGGGGAGCAAACAGG